CUCAGGAUGAACGCUAGCGGCAGGCUUAACACAUGCAAGUCGAGGGGCAGCAUGACGGUAACUUCGGGUUUUGUUGAUGGCGACCGGCGCAAGGGUGCGUAACGCGUGAGCAACUUGCCCGUUCUGGGGAAUAACCGUUGGAAACGACGACUAAUACCCCAUGGUAUCAGAUUUAGGCAUCUAUAUCUGAUUAAGGAAUUUCGGAAACGGAUAGGCUCGCGUGACAUUAGCUAGAUGGCGGGUAACGGCCCACCAUGGCGACGAUGUCUAGGGGUUCUGAGAGGAAGGUCCCCCACACUGGAACUGAGACACGGUCCAGACUCCUACGGGAGGCAGCAGUGAGGAAUAUUGGUCAAUGGUCUGACGACUGAACCAGCCAUGCCGCGUGAAGGUCACGGCCCUAUGGGUCUUAAACUUCUUUUGUUAGGGAGCAAUAAGUUCUACGUGUAGGAUGAUGAGAGUACCUAACGAAUAAGCAUCGGCUAACUCCGUG
rnacentral:rRNA from 1 species